rnacentral:lncRNA from 1 species
AACCAGCCGAGGGAAGUAACAGUAGAGACGGGAGGGUGGAUGCUUAAAGACAAGACCAUGCUGCCAUUUCAUUUCAUGUAUCAUUUUAGAAAUACACACACACAUAUGUAUAAGUGUAUGUGGGUAUACAUGUACACACAUAUAUGAAUAUGUGCAUAUGGAUAUAUGGGCUCCUCAAGUCCUACCUACAUCAAUCUUUGGAACAUCCAUCACCUUGCUGAUCCAAGGGAGCCUGGGAGUGAGUAUGAAUCCUCUCACACCAAGGAUAAGGCUUUCGAUUGUCUCUUCCCAAUGCACGGUAGAGAUGUGGUAAGAACUCAAAGGAUCAUGGUCUUUGGUGUGACAUCCUACAACAGUACAGGAGCUGAAGGGACUGGUGGACUUUUCCAGAUAACUCUGCUGAUGAUCCAUAGCACAAACCAAGCUCCACAAAGAAACUUGUAGAGGUUCCUAAGUUUCUAGAUGUUUCUGUGUCAACCUUCUGCAGAUCUCCUUUUAGAUAAAGCUAAGGCUACAGAGGUGUUUCAGAGUGUUAUGACAGACCGAACAAACUCAACGGAAUUGGCCUAACUGAACUCAAGCUCUUUCACGAAUGAAAUGUCCCUGUGGUUCAUCAUCGAGAAUCAAAUCCAGGCUCCUGUAAAUGCUAGGUCUAUACUCUCCCACUGGGCUACAUCGCCCAGACCUAAAUUAUUUCUAUAGUUUAAAAGUUAUACUUGUUAGGGCCAGUAACAUGGCCCAGUGAGGGGUAAAAACACCUACUGUGAAGCUUGGCCAUUUGGCUCUGUUCCCGGAACCCAUGUUGUGAAAGGAAAAAAAAAAUCAACUCCCACAAUGCCCUCUGACUUGUGUGAUUGUACAUAUGCACAAUAACCCUCAAAAUAAAUAGGUAAUGCAAAAAAU